UGGGGAAUAUUGGACAAUGGGGGAAACCCUGAUCCAGCGAUGCCGCGUGUGUGAAGAAGGCCUGCGGGUUGUAAAGCACUUUCAGUUGGGAAGAUAGUUUGUAGGGGAAUAUCCUGCAGAUGAGACGUUACUAACAAAAGAAGCACCGGCUAACUCUGUGCCAGCAGCCGCGGUAAUACAGAGGGUGCGAGCGUUAAUCGGAAUUACUGGGCGUAAAGGGUGCGCAGGCGGUUUUGUAAGUCAGAUGUGAAAUCCCCGGGCUUAACCUGGGAACUGCGUUUGAAACUACAAGACUAGAGUGUGGCAGAGGGGGGUGGAAUUCCAUGUGUAGCAGUGAAAUGCGUAGAGAUAUGGAAGAACAUCGAUGGCGAAGGCAGCCCCCUGGGUUAACACUGACGCUCAUGCACGAAAGCGUGGGGAGCAAACAGGAUUAGAUACCCGGGUAGUCCCUGAGCGGGCUGGCAAGGCGCAU
rnacentral:rRNA from 1 species